AACGAACGCUGGCGGCAUGCCUAACACAUGCAAGUCGAACGAGACCUUCGGGUCUAGUGGCGCACGGGUGCGUAACGCGUGGGAACCUGCCCUUAGGUUCGGAAUAACUCCCCGAAAGGGGUGCUAAUACCGGAUAAUGUCUUCGGACCAAAGAUUUAUCGCCUUUGGAUGGGCCCGCGUUGGAUUAGCUAGUUGGUAGGGUAAAAGCCUACCAAGGCGACGAUCCAUAGCUGGUCUGAGAGGAUGAUCAGCCACACUGGGACUGGGACGCGGCCCAGACUCCUACGGGAGGCAGCAGUGGGGAAUAUUGGACAAUGGGCGGAAGCCUGAUCCAGCAAUGCCGCGUGAGUGAUGAAGGCCUUAGAGUUGUAAAGCGCUUUUAACCGUGAUGAUAAUGACAGUACCGGGAGAAUAAGCCCCGGCUAACUCCGUG
rnacentral:rRNA from 1 species